GCGGUAAUAGCUCAGUUGGUGUUGCUGAGGUAGAGCGUUAGACUGAA
rnacentral:tRNA from 1 species